rnacentral:tRNA from 1 species
AUUCUCUUAGUUUAAUUGGUAAAACAACAUUUCAUUAAAAUGUUAAUUUUGGUUUGAAUCCAAAAGAGAUUU